GACGAACGCUGGCGGCGUGCUUAACACAUGCAAGUCGAACGGAAAGGCCCUGCUUUUGUGGGGUGCUCGAGUGGCGAACGGGUGAGUAACACGUGAGUAACCUGCCCUUGACUUUGGGAUAACUUCAGGAAACUGGGGCUAAUACCGGAUAGGAGCUCCUGCUGCAUGGUGGGGGUUGGAAAGUUUCGGCGGUUGGGGAUGGACUCGCGGCUUAUCAGCUUGUUGGUGGGGUAGUGGCUUACCAAGGCUUUGACGGGUAGCCGGCCUGAGAGGGUGACCGGCGACAUUGGGACUGAGAGACGGCCCAGACUCCUACGGGAGGCAGCAGUGGGGAAUAUUGCACAAUGGGCGGGAGCCUGAUGCAGCAACGCCGCGUGCGGGAUAACGGCCUUCGGGUUGUGAACAGCUUUCGCCUGUGACGAAGCGUGAGUGACGGUAAUGGGUAAAGAAGCAACGGCUAACUACGUG
rnacentral:rRNA from 1 species